CUCUUUCUGGAGAUCCUCCUCUUUGGUGGAGCUUUCCCCUGCAAGCCUGGAACCUUCUGAUAUGGGCGGUAAUUAUGGUUAUUUAGGGUGACAGGAUCCUCCUGAAGGCCAUGCAUUUGAUCCUGCUGCUUCAAGUGACUUCUGUGGAAGACUGUAAGCCAUAGCUUUUCUGAGCAGAGAGCUGGAACAGGUUAUAUGGUCACUUAAUGCCAGUGCAAAAUUGAACAAAUGCUGUUCAGUGCAAAGGAGCUGAGCAAUUCUGAUUGCCUGCCUUCCUCUGCCUCUAAGUACCUGCAGCAGCAAAGCUCGAGUCUGUGCAGGUGGGUUAUCUACAACUUGGACUCAUUGCGGAGACACUGAUGGGCUCUUGGACUGAGCCCAACAGGAGCUACAGAGGAAUAUUAGCUGCCUGAAAACUGUGUGUGACUCACAGGUCUCCUACGCGUGCCUUCACCCACAUACCCUUCCCUUCAUGCUGUUUCCAAGCACAAGGACUGCUGGAUUUUCUGCUCUUCCCCCCACCAUCCCCCCCAACCACGUUUUCUUUUUUUAAAAAAACUAGCUGUGAAUGAUUGGAACAGGUGGUGCUGUGAGUUCCCAACAGUGUAAAUAUAUUCAGGCCACAAAUGGGGCAAGCAAAACAGACCAAUUGGAGCUGGUUGCCUCCUCUUCUGGGGCUCUAUAAGCAGAGGUGCGGGGUAUGAGAUGAAGCACAAUGGUCCUGACAGCAAUAGAGACUGGCAUGGAAUAUGUGAGUGACCCUGGUAGUGUCUAGAAGCCAAUUAAAGCUUAUUUAAAAUAUUAGCAUAUCAGCAGGCAGGAAUUCUUCCGACUGGAUUGGUUUCACUAGGGGAUCAGGGAAUAGGGCCAGUGUUCAGCUAGUAAUCAUUCUUUUCAAUACAAUUGCAUUCAUCGCCUGACCUGCCAGGGCACUGCUGGAGGAGGCUGCAUCCCUGGGAAGGGUUAUUCCUAGCACUGCAGUCUUGCUGCAGGAGCUGCACCAGUGAACGGCAGUGCGGGGAUGAGUUCCCACUUGGGAGCCAUAAAAGCAAACAACGAAGCAGCCCUGGUUUUGUGCCAGUGUGUUUGUGGACUGGAUAAAGGAGGGAAAAAGCUUUAAAAAAAUAAUCCCUGCUUUUCCCUGUCAAGUUCUCCCCGGUAUAUAUUUAUAUUUAGUGUCUAUUUAGCAGUGAAGAGGAGAGGGCUGUCUGGGAAAGUGGUUUGAUGGGAGAGAGUGGGUUUGUAAUCCAGACAUAUUCAAAGACAGCCUUAAAUAGAGCAUUAAUAAACUGAGGGGUUGAAGAUUGCAGUCUUCUAUUUUGGUGAAAAUGGAGCUUUCUGUGUGUGCCAGCUGCUGCUCACAUGCAGGAGAUGUUGGUCACUGCGUGAAGGAGCUUUCACUUGUGUAUUUGCCUGCAGUGCACAAGCAUUCCUGGGAAUCUUCCUGUUAUUUGGGAUACUUUGGUGUCAAGUCCAUAAAAGAAAAAAAACAUGGAAAAAGAGGGAGCAGAGCUGGCUUACUGCAUGCCUUGUGUAUGUGUCAGGGUGAAACAAGCAGCACUGUGGUUGGUUUGGGGGCACAAAGCAGUCAGACCCCGUGGUGUGAUCAGGGAAGUACCUUGUGGUUUUUCCCUUUCUCCCUGAGUGGAAAUUUGGGCUCUGAAGCAUUGCCAAGCAGUGCCUGUUCCUGCUGCCUGCCUGUCUCCUGGGCUGGACAGGCUGCGGUCUUGAUCCUUCAUCUGUAUAGUGUCCUUUUCCCUUCAAACUGUACUAGCAGUUGGAGAAUUAGCAAAUCUUUUCAGCACUCAAAUGUCAAACCACAGCCAAAAUCACUGUGCUCCUGUUUGUUUUUUUUUUUUUUUUUUCCUUCCUGUCAAGGUCAUGGUGCAUUUUGAGACUUUUUCCUGACUGCUCACUCCAGGUGAGCACUGGUGUUGGGAAUCCCACCUGCAGCAGAUCAGUGCCCUGUGGCUCUGCAGGAGCAGGCCCCAGUUACCCCCAGUGUAUUUGCUCCAUGAGCAAUCAAGCCAUGAGCUCUUCAUACUUGUAUUUUUGUUGAUAGAUAUCAAUAUUGGAAAAUUACAUGUUAUGUUGCCUGGUUACUGUGAGGUGGAGAAGUAGCAAGAACUUGGUUUCUGGGGGUGGCUGCAGAUGGGUGCGCAAGCAGUUUCCAUGAUAUAGGGGGGGAAAUUCAAGACCUGGAGCACUGCAUGAGAAAUCAAGUCUAUAUAUCCAAGUAAACUGGAAACCACAUUAGGAGUUAGCUGACUAGAUACAGCUUCUAUGGACCUAGACUUGGGACAUGGCAAUCUGAAGGUCUGUGCAUACCCACACUAAUAGUACUGAAGUUGACAGGGAAAGGUGGCCUCUAAUAACUCUGUAUCAGCAAAGCAGACAUAGCGUGCUCCCCAGACUGACUCUGAUAAUCAUUUCCUGCUGAUGCUUUGGCCAGCGAGUCUGUCACUCAAAUAUCUGCUGAGGGGAUGAGUCCGUGCCUGCCAGAGUCCUCGCCAAGGAGGAACAAGGAAGAUGGGGAGGUGACCUGGACUGGUGUCUGUUGCUGCACUCUGAGGAAUUUCACCUUAGGAAAAUGCAAAUGGACUUGGAACUAAUUUUGUUCAAGAACGUGAGCAGGCACUCAGAGGGCCUUUUUUUUCCCCCUCUUACCAUGACUUCUCUAAUUACUGGGAUGAAUGUGUAAACCCUCAUGCUGAAGUGUUCACAAGAGUGAGUUUACUCAUUUUACCAUUUCUUGGCAUAAAAAGCAUCGUAUUAAGCAGGUUUUAAGGUUUUCUCACCAAGAGAUGUGGAUUAUAAAGCUUUAGAAAUAACUUGCAUCUGGAAAAGCCAAUUAAUAAAACAAAAAUUCUGAU
rnacentral:lncRNA from 1 species